rnacentral:lncRNA from 1 species
CACUGGACGGGUGCCUGGACAUUAUCAGGAGUGCUUUUGAGGAGCCAGGAUGGAGGCGGUAGAGAGGGUUUCCAGGCUAGUGGACUGGCAGGGACCCUGAAUGCUUCUGUGUGCUUCCUUUUCUCCUUGCUUCACAGACCUCCUUCUGAGUGCAGGCUUGGUUCUCCUAGUUGUUUUGCUCCUGUGCUUUGAAUGGAUACGUCUACAGGAACAUUCAGAGGAGCUAGCUCACAGCGCCGUCUAACGUCCGUAGAUGGGAGGCUAAGAGCCAACUUCGGAACAAAGCUAUGUAAAAGACUUAGGGGUCACGGAGCCAAAGAGACCCCACUGGAGCACACAGUUGACGCAGAAUCUAUAAAGAACUUAGCAAGCUCAACACCCAAAGAACAAAUAAUCCAAUCAAGAAAUGGGCAGAAGACAUGAACAGACAUUUCUGCAAAGAAGACAUCCAGAUGGCCAACAGACACAUGAAAAAGUGCUCCAUAUCACUCGGCAUCAGGGAAAUACAAAUCAAAACCGCAAUGAGAUAUCACCUCACACCAGUCAGAAUGGCUAAAAUCAACAAAAUUACUUAUCUGUUUAAUGAAGGGUUUUUUUCCCUGAGAUUUUAUCCUUUUAUUUAAUGAGAAACAGAUUCCUUUAUCACUUCAUUUUGUCUCUCUCUGUUUCUAUGUAUUCAAUAAAAUUGCCACCUCUCUCAGGCUUUGAGUAACCUGAAUUGGUGGUAAGCCUUUUUGUACAAUGUAUCCUAGUUCUUUGUUAUAUAUUUAACCUUUAUGACUGUGAAAGCUGUGUACUUUACUUGUAAUAGCUGCCAAUUGUUAAGAGUGUGCAAGAACUGGGGUGUCUGGGUGGCUCAGUGGGUUAAGCCUCUGCCCUUGGCUAAAGUCAUGAUCUCAGGGUCCUGGAAUUGAGCCCCACAUCAGGCUCUCUGCUCAGCAGGGAGCCUGUUUCCCUCUCUCUCUCUGCCUGCCUCUCUGCCUACUUGUGAUCUCUCUCUGC